rnacentral:rRNA from 1 species
AACGAACGCUGGCGGCAUGCCUAACACAUGCAAGUCGAACGAGACCUUCGGGUCUAGUGGCGCACGGGUGCGUAACGCGUGGGAACCUGCCCUUAGGUUCGGAAUAACUCCCCGAAAGGGGUGCUAAUACCGGAUAAUGUCUUCGGACCAAAGAUUUAUCGCCUUUGGAUGGGCCCGCGUUGGAUUAGCUAGUUGGUAUGGUAAAAGCCUACCAAGGCGACGAUCCAUAGCUGGUCUGAGAGGAUGAUCAGCCACACUGGGACUGAGACACGGCCCAGAAUACUACGGGAGGCAGCAGUGGGGAAUAUAGGAAAAUGGGCGAAAGGCUGAACCAGCAAUGCCGCGUGAGUGAUGAAGGCCUUAGGGUUGUAAAGCUCGUUUACACGGGAUGAUAAUGACAGUACCGGGAGAAUAAGCUCCGGCUAACUCCGUG